GGCCGGGUAGCUCAGUUGGUAGAGCAGCGGAUUGAAAAUCCGCGUGUCGGCAGUUCGAUUCUGCCCUCGGCCACCA
rnacentral:tRNA from 1 species